CCAGACUUGGGCUUGGUUAAUCAUCUGGGGUUCUCCCCAGUGCACUUUUCCAGUCCAGGCCAGCAUCAGUUUGGGCGGUUGGAUAAAGACCUCUGUCACGUACCUUCUCUCGGGAAGGCCUUAUAGGGGAGGUGUCAUGCAACCAGCCUGGACUGAGGUCCGCGCAUCUGCUAGGAUGCUGGCGUAAUGGCUGUAAGCGG
rnacentral:rRNA from 1 species